UACAGAGGUCUCAAGCGUUGUUCGGAUUCAUUGGGCGUAAAGGGUGUGUAGGUGGCGCCGUAAGUCGGGGUGUGAAAUUUCGGAGCUUAACUCCGAAACUGCAUUCGAUACUGCGGUGCUUGAGGACUGGAGAGGAGACUGGAAUUCAUGGUGUAGCAGUGAAAUGCGUAGAGAUCAUGAGGAAGACCAGUGGCGAAGGCGGGUCUCUGGACAGUUCCUGACACUGAGACACGAAGGCCAGGGGGAGCAAACGGG
rnacentral:rRNA from 1 species